rnacentral:rRNA from 1 species
CAGCAGCCGCGGGAAUACGAAGGGGGCUAGCGUUGUUCGGAAUUACUGGGCGUAAAGCGCACGUAGGCGGAUUUUUAAGUCAGGGGUGAAAUCCCGAGGCUCAACCUCGGAACUGCCUUUGAUACUGGAGAUCUUGAGUUCGGAAGAGGUUGGUGGAACAGCUAGUGUAGAGGUGAAAUUCGUAGAUAUUAGCUAGAACACCAGUGGCGAAGGCGGCCAACUGGUCCGAUACUGACGCUGAGGUGCGAAAGCGUGGGGAGCAAACAGGAUUAGAGACCCCCGUAGUCCCUGUCUCUUAUAU